ensembl:snoRNA SNORD116 Small nucleolar RNA SNORD116
GGUUCAGUGAUGACUUCCAUACGCGGAUUCUUCAGAAAACUAAACAAAAUCAGUGAAAACACUAUACUGUCGCCUUCUUCAAACUGAGGCUU